rnacentral:rRNA from 1 species
UACGAAGGGGGCUAGCGUUGUUCGGAUUUACUGGCGUAAAGCGCACGUAGGCGGAUCGUUAAGUCGGGGGUGAAAUCCUGGAGCUCAACUCCAGAACUGCCUUCGAUACUGGCGAUCUUGAGUCCGGAAGAGGUGAGUGGAACUCCUAGUGUAGAGGUGGAAUUCGUAGAUAUUAGGAAGAACACCAGUGGCGAAGGCGGACUCA